rnacentral:rRNA from 1 species
GACGAGCCACACAAACGUUAUUCGGAAUUACUGGGCUUAAAGGGUGCGUAGGCGGCGCGGAAAGUUGGGUGUGAAAGCCCUCGGCUCAACCGAGGAAUUGCGCCCAAAACUACCGUGCUUGAGGAAGAUAGAGGUGAGCGGAACUCAGGGUGGAGCGGUGAAAUGCGUAGAUAUCAGGAGGAACACCGGUGGCGAAGGCGGCUUUCUGGACAGUAACUGACGCUGAGGCGCGAAAGCUAGGGGAGCAAACAGG